GUAGGGAAUAUUGGACAAUGGGGGCAACCCUGAUCCAGCCAUGCCGCGUGAGUGAAGAAGGUCCUCGGGUUGUAAAGCCCUUUUGUCCGGAAAGAAAAGCAUUCGGUGAAUACCCGGAUGUUCUGACGGUACCGGAAGAAUAAGCACCGGCUAACUUCGCGCCAGCAGCCGCGGUAAUACGAAGGGUGCAAGCGUUACUCGGAAUUACUGGGCGUAAAGCGUGCGUAGGUGGUUGUUUAAGUCUGAUGUGAAAGCCCUGGGCUCAACCUGGGAAUGGCAUUGGAAACUGGGCAGCUAGAGUGCGGUAGAGGGUAGUGGAAUUCCCGGUGUAGCAGUGAAAUGCGUAGAGAUCGGGAGGAACAUCUGUGGCGAAGGCGACUGCCUGGACCAGCACUGACACUGAGGCACGAAAGCGUGGGGAGCAAACA
rnacentral:rRNA from 1 species